rnacentral:lncRNA from 1 species
GGCAGUUUGGUCCUCCAUAAUUAUCUGUUUAACCUGUUGAUCAUGUGAAUAAAGUCUGGUUUAAGCUCUCUCUUUCCCUCUCUGUUUUUCUGUCUCUCACUCUCUCUUUCCUUGUUGGUCUCUCUAUCUUUCUGUCUCUCUCUCUUUUUCUGUCUCUCUCUCUCUCUCAAAUCUCUCUGUCUCGCAAUCUCUUUCUUUUUCUGUGCCACUCUGUCUUUCUUUUGCUCUGUCUGUCUCUCUCUCUUUUUGUCUGUCUGUCUCUCUUUCUCUCUCUGUUUUUCUAUCUCACUCUCUGUCUCUCCCUUUCUCUCUCUUUCUCUGUGUGUGUGUUGUUCUCUCUCUUUUUCUAUCUCUCUCUUUCUCUCUCUCCCUCUGUCUCUUAUUUUCUCUUUCUCUGUGUGUCUCUGUCUUUCUCUUUCUGUCCCACUCUUUCUCUCUCUGUCUGUCUGUUUUUCUCUCUGUUUUUCUGUCUCUCACUCUCUCUUUCCUUGUUGGUCUCUCUCUCUCUCUCUCUCUCUCUCUCUCUCUCUCUCUCUCUCUCUCUCUCUCUCUCUCUCUCUCUCUCUCUUAAUGUUCACUUAAGGGAACAGAUAACAGACUGUUUUGCUGAACUGUCCUCCUUCUCCAGCUCCUCCCCCUUUUCGAGAGUAGCCGUUAAAGGACAAUUGAAGCACUUCCUCCACAGAUAGCGAAACCAACCCAGACCAAACUAAUGUAUCUGACAGCGACUCUCAGCAUCGGGUAGCUGUAGUUUUCUGGGGAGAUGAUAGAAGCAAUGUUUGAAAAGAUAUUACAGAAGAAAUCACUGUAAAGAACUGUUCUUACUGAACUAAAAAUGGAAACUCCACCAGCGUGCACCAGUCCGGUGGAAAUCAACAUGAAUGCUCAGACCAGUGGAAAACUUGCUUCUCCUGGAUUUUUUGGAAAUACAAUACAAGCUCCUAUGAACAUCACCAUCGUACAGGGAGGUCAGGAGGUUUCCAGUCCCACUGCCAUUCCAGCUGGAGUCCCUUUUGCUCCUGCUCUCUCUGAAGAGCUGGCUUCUGCAUAUCAGCAAAAACUCAAAAGUAAACUAAGGCAGGAAUAUACAAGAAUUAAUGAGGGAAUCUCACUGCAUGGAGCAUCAACCAUUCUGAAUGAGAUCUACACAGAGCUCUACAUCACAGAGGGAGGGAGUGCAGAGGUGAAUAAUGAACACGAGGUCAGACAGAUCGAGACGGCAUCCAGGAGACCAGACACACAGGAGAAACCAAUCAACUGCAAUGACCUCUUUAAAGACAAAUCAAUCAAAACAGUUCUUACGAAAGGAGUUGCUGGAAUUGGAAAAACAGUCUCUGUGCAGAAGUUCAUUCUGGACUGGGCCGAAGGAAAAGCAAAUCAGGAAAUUCACUUCAUAUUCCCACUUCCUUUCAAAAAACUGAAUAUAAUAAAGGAACCACUGAGUCUAAUGGAGCUUCUUCAUCACUUUUUCCAUGAACUAAAUACAUUACAAACAGUAGACUGUAAUACUUACAAAAUCUUGUUUAUUUUUGAUGGUCUGGAUGAGUGUCGACUUCCUCUAGAUUUCCUAAAUAAUAAACUGCUAUGGGAUGUAACACAUAAAGCCUCAGUGGAUGUGCUGUUGACAAACCUCAUCAUGGGGAAUCUACUCCAGUCUGCCCUCAUCUGGGUAACCUCUCGACCAGCAGCAGCCAAUCAGAUCCCUCCUGAGUAUGUUCAAAGGGUAACAGAGGUCCGAGGGUUCAGUGACCACCAGAAAGAGGAGUACUUCAGGAAAAGAAUUAGUAAUCAGACCCUGGCCAAUAACAUCAUUACGCACAUGAAAUCAUCAAGAAGCCUUUACAUCAUGUGCCACAUUCCAGUCUUCUGUUGGAUUGCAGCCACUGUUCUAGAGAGAGUGUUGGGUGAAGCAGAGACUGGAGAGAUCCCAAAGACUUUGACUCAAAUGUUCACACACUUCCUUAUCUUUCAGGUAAAACACAGGAACCAAAAGUACCAAGGAAAAUGUGACCCGGAUCCUCAGAAGACUAAAGAGAGUAUUCUGGCUCUGGGAAAACUCGCUUUUCAACAGCUGGAAAAGGGCAAUCUGAUCUUCUAUGAGGAAGACCUGAGAGAUUGUGGCAUUGAUGUCUCAGAAGUAUCAGUGUACUCGGGAGUUUGCACUCAGAUCUUCAGAGAAGAGUUUUGGCUGCACCUAAGUAGAGUGUUCAGCUUUAUUCACCUGAGUGUUCAGGAGUUUCUGGCUGCAUUAUACGCAUUUCUCACAUUCGUCUGUAAAGAUGUAACAAAACACCUGACUACUAAUCUCUCUGUUAUUUUCAAACAGUCCACAAUGUCAGACUUCCUCAAGUCUGCAGUGGACAAGGCAUUACAGAGUGAGAAUGGACACCUGGAUCUUUUCCUUCGAUUUCUUUUGGGCCUCUCACUGGAGUCUAAUCAGACUCUUCUACGAGGUCUACUGACACAGGCAGAAUGCAGGUCUCACAACAAGGAGGAAACAGUUCAAUACAUCAAGGAGAAAAUCAGGGAAAAUCCCUCUCCAGAGAAAUCCAUCAAUUUGUUUCACUGUCUAAAUGAGCUGAAUGAUCAUUCUCUAUUGCAAGAAGUACAAGAAUAUGUAAGCAGGAGAGAUCACAGGCGUCUGAGUGGAGUUAGUCUGUCUCCUGCCCAAUGGUCAGCUCUGGUCUUUGUGUUGCUGAACUCAGAAGAGGAGAUGGACGAGUUUAAUUUGCGUAAAUAUGACAGAUCAGAGGAUUGCCUUCUCAGGUUGAUACCAGUUGUGAAAGCAUCCAGAAGAGCUGUGCUGUGCAACUGUAAUCUCACAGAGAAAGCCUGUGCUGCUCUGGCCUCAGCUCUCAGCUCAAGCUCCUCGAAUCUGAAUGAUCUGAACUUGACUAAUAAUGACCUGCUGCAAGACUCAGGAGUGAAGCUACUUUCUGCUGGACUGAAGAGUUCACACUGUAAACUGGAGAUACUGAGGCUAUGUGACUGUGACCUCACAGAGAAAAGCUGUGCAGCUUUGGCUUCAGUUCUCAGCAUAAAGUCCUCAAGUCUAAAAGAACUGAAUUUGAGUUACAAUGAACUGCUGCGGGACUUAGGAGUGAAGCUGCUUUGUACUGGCUUGGAGAAUCCGCACUGUAAACUGGAGAUACUAGGGCUGUCUAAGUGCAGUAUUACUGACGUAGGCUGUGCUGCUCUGGCUUCAGCACUCAAAUCCAACUCUUCUCACCUGAGAGAGUUGAACCUGUGCCACAAUAAACCAGGAAAAUCCGGAGUGAAGCUGCUUUCUGAUCUACUGGAGGAUCCACACUGUAAAUUGGAGAAUCUACUCAUUUGAAACCCAAAUAUCUGAUCUGCUCUUACAAACUGAGAAGAGGGUGAAGUCCUUGUUUGGAUCAUUAUUUGCAGAAAAGAUCGCUGCCUUUGAUUUUUCAGUAUCACAUAUUUACUUUGGGAAUACUCACCAGUGCUUUAUAUCAUAUUUCUUGUUGUAUAUAAUUGUAUAAUACUAGGUAAUGCUCUAUUUUGCCUGUUUUGCCUGUCCCUGUUUUUUUUUAAUUAUACUGUUUAUAAAGAAAACAAAUCAUAUAUUAAAUCAGGCGUGAGUACCAUAAAAAAAUGUAAAGUGUUGAAAUAUUUCAUAUGUUCUGGUUCUUUGAAUUGUGUGCUUAAACGUGAUUUUUUUCAUGUGAUUUAAACAAGAAAAAAAUAUGUAACUAAUGUUCACAAAGUAGGGGAGGCUAUAAAAUAAGUUGCAAUAACAAUGCAAGGUACCCUUUACUGAUUACAAAUAAAGACUAUUGUGCAUAUACUUAACUGUGUUUA